GCCUUCCUACCAUCUGCCUCCACACGUAUGCCAACGCUAAAGUUUUUUGUUCCUUCCUUUAGGCACAUUAACUUGAAGAAGACCGGCUGUUUGUAAGGAAAGGAUGGCUUGGAUGAAAGAAUAUGGAAGGAAUUACGCUCACUUGCAGGAUGAGGAAAUGCAGCUCCUGCCGUCAAUUCGUCUACAUUCUUCAAGCUCCAAAUCCUCCAGUUGUCUGUGGUCUGUCUGCUCCGGCUCCCAGAGGUCACUUUCUCUUCCGAAAGCGUGGCCCUUUUCUGAUCAUCUGUCAUGAUACACACAGAGGCACAUUGGAAAUGCAGUAGAAAACGGCUGCCAGUUUAAAAGCAGAAGUUAAGAAGCACAAACCCAAGCGUGCGGUGACAGGGCUUCAAGCUAGACCAGCUCCCAGCAGAAGUGAGUCCCAAGAUCAUGGAUUCUGUUGCCUCUUCUGUCUUCUGCGAAGUGGCAGAUGCCAGCACCUGGGCUUGAACUUGAUCAUGACUGUUUAUUUCCUAACCUUUUCUGG
ensembl:lncRNA